AUGAAUUAUGUCACAAAACUACAAAAGUAUCACAGAGAAGUGGCCAAAAAGCAAAACGUAUAUGUGAAUAUCUGCACUGGGACUUUGGGUAUAUAUAAUAGCAUCCUUCACAGACAUCAUGCAUGAGACAAACAAUGUCAAUGGUUUGCCAGUCUGAAUUUGCUGGGAAUUUCGUGCAAUUGAGUGUCGAAUCAAUGACAAUGUCUUUAGGCAAAGGACCAUCUAUACCAACGGGCA